rnacentral:rRNA from 1 species
CCUACGGGAGGCAGCAGUAAGGAAUCUUGCGCAAUGGGCGAAAGCCUGACGCAGCGACGCCGCGUGGGCGAUGAAGGCCUUCGGGUUGUAAAGCCCUUUUCUGGGGGACGAGGAAGGACGGUACCCCAGGAAUAAGUCACGGCUAACUACGUGCCAGCAGCCGCGGUAAAACGUAGGUGGCAAGCGUUAUCCGGAAUCACUGGGCGUAAAGGGCGUCUAGGCGGACGGGUAAGUCGUGCGUGAAAGCUUCCGGCUCAACCGGGAGAGGUCGUACGAUCCUGCCUGUCUUGAGGGUCGGAGAGGGACGUGGAAUUCCUGGUGUAGCGGUGAAAUGCGUAGAUAUCAGGAGGAACACCCGUGGCGAGGGCGGCUUCCUGGCCAUGGCCUGACGCUGAGGUGCGAAGGCCGGGGGAGCGAACGGGAUUAGAUCCCCCUGUAGU